rnacentral:lncRNA from 7 species
AUGAACAAAGUCCUGUGUCUACUGUCUGCUCUCUGUCAUUAUCACAGCCCUUGGGAAAAUGACUGUUUACAGGAAACGGGUAUCUCUACUUGUAAUAUUUCUCUUCACAUGUAUAUUCUUUGCUUGGCAACACUGAAGGGAGGUCUAAUAGCAGAGAUAUCUUGUGUUAUUUGCCUUUGUAAUUAUAAAAGCUUUUUGCUUUUUUUUUUUUUUUUUUUUUUUGUAGGUGGGAAAUGUUUUCCAACUGAUCCUGCAAAUCCCACAUUCUAUCUUGAUUUCAUCCUGCUACGUUACUGA